ACCAGGAUGGCCGAGUGGUUAAGGCGUUGGACUAUAGCAUAACUCCAGGAUGGCCGAGUGGUUAAGGUGUUGGACUUAAGAUCUGUGUGGGUUCAAACCCCACUCCUGGUA